ensembl:lincRNA
CUGCAUCCGUGAAUCAGCGAUUUCACCAACAUGACAGGCCGCUGGGGGAACUCGGAGGAAUCGGAAAGAUAGGCGCGUGGAAGCGCUUCUCUUCACGGCGGAGGAAAGGAAAGCGAGGCACGGAAUCUGCCGACACACCCCAAGGGGGAGCAGCGAGAGCCAAGCGAACGCAGGACGCCCUCCCCGGCGUUUCCGACCAAGCCCCCCGCCCGGCGCUUUCCGGGGUGGAGGAGUGUGGGGAACGAAAACCGGCUCUUGGAGAGACGGAUGACCUGCCGCCCUGGGUUGGCCUGAGCCAGAUGACCACGGGAUGCUGAGGAGUAAUUACCAGUCUGAAGACCCAGCCUGCAGGAAGCUCUUACCGUCUUCGGGCCUGCCCUAUGUACCUCACAGUGUUCUCGCACUGAGUCCUCCCCUCAACGCCACCAGGAGCGGGCCAUUGGAGAUGUGCCAAGGGAGAACACCGCGGAGGGUGACCACCUUCACUGCUGCAGUUUCUGGAACUUUCCAGUACUAAAAAGAAUGAGCAUUCCCAGAAAGGUGUUUUAAGAGAGAAACUUGCCCUGUAAAUCACAUCUGUUGGAGCUACCAGGGGAGCCUUUAAAGAUCUUAAGUGCACAGUACAGAAAUCUCCUGAAAUCAGGGUCUGGAGGCUUGGGAUACAUAUGCUGGGAAGUCAGGGGCUCCCUGGCCCUUCCUUCAGGGGCUGAUCUGGAAUCAGCCUGUAUUAGUUGCAAGCUAUUCUCAUUGGGUAGGGGCUGUUUACCAUUGAGACAUAUGUUUUAAGAUUAUAAAAUUCAUAUCCAUUAAAGACAAAUUAAAAUGGUUUUAAAAUAGAAAAAAAUGUUAUUCAUCAUUUUAUCACCCAGAUGUAACAAUUAUGAUUUAGGAUAUUCCAUUCUGUUGUUUUUUCCUGGGCAGAAUUUUUUUGACAGUAUGUUAAUCAUAAUAUAUGUGCAGUAUUAUAAACUGCUUUGUCACUUCACCUGCUUACUUCACUUAAAGUGGCAUAAGGCUGUUUAGUCCUUGAAUCGUUU